CCUACGGGCGGCAGCAGUGAGGAAUAUUGGUCAAUGGGUGCGAGCCUGAACCAGCCAAGUCGCGUGAGGGAUGAAGGUUCUAUGGAUCGUAAACCUCUUUUAUAAGGGAAUAAAGUGUGGGACGUGUCCUAUUUUGUAUGUACCUUAUGAAUAAGGAUCGGCUAACUACGUGCCAGCAGCCGCGGUAAUACGGAGGAUCCGAGCGUUAUCCGGAUUUAUUGGGUUUAAAGGGUGCGUAGGCGGCCUUUUAAGUCAGCGGUGAAAGUCUGUGGCUCAACCAUAGAAUUGCCGUUGAAACUGGGGGGCUAGAGUAUGUUUGAGGCAGACGGAAUGCGUGGUGUAGCGGUGAAAUGCUUAGAUAUCACGCAGAACCCCGAUUGCGAAGGCAGCCUGCCAAGCCAUGACUGACGCUGAUGCACGAAAGCGUGGGGAUCAAACAGGAUUAGAUACCCGAGUAGUC
rnacentral:rRNA from 1 species